GCAAGUGGCGGACAUGAACAUGUGUAGGAGAAACGCAGGUGUGUGCGCCGUGAAUGGGCUCCUCUACGUGGUUGGAGGGGACGAUGGCUCCUGUAACUUGGCCUCUGUGGAGUACUACAACCCCAUCACCGACAAGUGGACGUUGUUACCAACCAGCAUGAGCACUGGAAGAAGUUACGCAGGUGUGGCUGUGAUUCACAAACCCUUGUGACACCAACCGAGGUGGUGCGAGAAGCAGAAGUAAACUGGAUCCAGCUGCGUGGCAUUGGGAA